AAAAAGUGAAUAUCCUUACCGUAGACAGCAGGCACGCUUUUGCGUUUAAAAUAGCCCGCCGAGGAUUUAGAUGAACAAGAUAGUCUUAUCUUGUGAUUUUACCCUUGCUGUUACGGUGGCGAGGGUUUUAUUUUGUUCGC
rfam:Listeria fleischmannii subsp. coloradonensis strain TTT M1-001 Contig127, whole genome shotgun sequence.